rnacentral:lncRNA from 1 species
AAAAUAUGGUAUAGCAAUACCAAAACAACUGAGAUAAUUGUCUAAACAUACUGUAGUCUAAAAGCCUCUAAACUGUCUGAAUAAGGAGUUGAUGAGACAUGUCCCCAACUAACUCCAACUACUGAAAUAAACUGAAAACUAAAAUAGUAAUGUGAUCAUUAUGUCCUCGAAGGAUGAGGACUCACUGCUAACUCUGAUCGCUAAACUGAGAUGCUACUGGUUCUCUGGAGCUCGUGCUUCUAAACCUAUGGUAUAAGACACCAUAGUGCAAAUGCAUCAGUACUUUGAAUGUACUGGUAUGCAAGGGAGGUAGGAUGGAUAUAAUAGGUUCAUAUGAAUGAACAAUACUAACUGACUGACUAACAUGAACGUGAGAAUACAUGUAUGCAUACGUAACUAUAACUGAGAUCAUGAUAGGAUUAGAUACUAAGUUCUGACUACUGAGUCUACUGAUAUUGACAUCUGAGUCACUAAUAAGUGAGAAGCUAAUAUUGUAUUACUAAAUACUGAGGGACUGUUACUAUGUUACUGAUACAUGGAUAACUGUAUCUGACUGUUCUGAUUAUGAAGAACUGGCCUACUUGACUGUAUCUGACAGUCCUGAAGCUGAAUGCUAAUAACAUAAGUUCUGAUAUCUAAUAUAACUAAUAACAUAAGUGACUGUAUCUAACAGUCCUAAAUCUGAUGGAACUAGCUGAGUUUCGUACUGUAUCUGAGUAACUGAAUCUAAGAUCAGUCCUAUUUAGCGGGUGAUCUCUAAAUCUAAUGAUACCGUUACUGAUUGACCAUAGUUGAGAUCAAUCUUGUCUAGUGGGUGAUCCUGGAGUCUAUUUAUAAAGAUAAGGAGUGACUGUAUCUGAUAGUCCUAAAUCUAUACUACUGAGCUGAAUUGACUGUAUCUGACAGUCCUGAUUCUAUAACUGAAAAUGUGGGAUGUAUUCAUCUAACCGACAUGACCCAUACUAAGCUAACUGGGGUCCAACCUAUAAAUCCAGCUGAAAAGGUGUUAACACCGCGCCACUAGUAAAGACAACUGCUGUGGAGUCAGUCCUAAUCUAGCGGGUAACCCCUGGGAUCAGUCCUAUACAUUUAAAUGCACUAACGGGUGAUCCCUGAGUAUGUCAUUCCUAUCUAACAGGUGACAUAUCAUACCUAUGCUGGCUACGUAGUUCUGGAACUUAGGGAUUGCUUCUAGGGAUCUCAGUCCUAUCUAGCGGGUGAGUCCUCAUCCCUAGGCUCGCUCGGUGCUGAAUCCUACUCCUAUCUGAAAGACACUGAACUGUUUAAUUGAAUUAAGCUGAUUAACUGAACUGAACUGAUAUUAGCGGUAUUGUUUAGUCGAGCUAAACUGAAUUUACUGAGUUUUGUUGACUGGCGGAAUGUACUGAGUUCUGAGGACUGACUGAGAAUACUAAAGUUAUUGAGAUUAUGAGCUACUAAAAUUACUGAGAUUUCUGAGAUUUCCCGAGUCACAUGACCGACUGAGUUCUGUGGAUCAUAGCUUGACUGAGGAGAUCAUGAAAACAUGACAUGGCUCUAGGCACACAACUAAAUGUUUGGGUACAAGUACCCCCAGGACUCGAUGAGAAAAAAACUGACAUAGCAUGGCUUACUUGAACACAUGACCAACAAGACAAUUUAUAAUUUAUAUAUUGAAGCACUUCAUCAAAUAUGUGAUAUGUAUAAACUUGUACAUACAUGGGGAAUUCAUGAUAUCGUACUAGUUGGGCAUUGUUCCUUCAUCUAGGCAUUUAAUCAUACACAUGGUAGGCAUAACACAUGUAGAAAACAUUAUAAAACAAUUAAUCAUCAAGAUCCAUCUCUAAUUUCAUCAUCCUAGGGUUUAUUCAUAGGUUCACAUGAAUAUACAUCUAUACAAAUCAAUUCCAUAUAAAAUUGAUUACCCAACAAGGAUUUGAAUUCAAUUGAUCAUUCUCAACAUAAACAAAACAAACCCAACAUGAAAUUCAUAAAGAAAUCCAUAAAAUUAAACUUAAAAAGAGAUUCUCAGGCUUUAUGGACGAAAAGAUUCUAUGAAUAAACACUACGCAUACCUUAGUUCGUGAUUUCAUGAAGAUUGACAGAGAAACUUUCUUGGAAUUGGAUGUUCUAUGAAAACCUUAGCUUGUUCUUGAGAGGUUUUGAGAGAAGAGAGUGUAUUUUGGGUGAAAAGUAGCUGAAUCACGUGUUAAAGGGCUUAUAAAGGGGUAGGAAAUUGAUCCUUUUAACCCUUGGAUGCAUCUUUAAUUUCUAAGAAAAUUUCCCGAUUUUCAUCCUUGGCGCGACGCGCCACUAUCGCGCCAAGUCACUGAAAAGUGACAAAUGGGAAAUUGCACAGUGGUGUGAUGCGGAGCUAUCACGUUGCCACCUUAUCUAUGACCUAAAAAUUUGGUACGAUGUGCCACUAUCGCGGAGCAACACUGAAAAUUGACAAUUGCCAUUUGAUCUAUCUCCGCGAUGCGCUGAAGGCUCAGGUGAAAAUUGUCUCACUGAAAAGGCUCUAACUCUUCACCUGGGUGUCGGAUUUGGGCAAAUUUGGUAUCGAUAGAAAGCUUAUUCAAUUACCUACAUGAUAAAUCGUAAAAAUAUUGAAAAUAAAACAUGUACAAAGUGGAUUUAUCUUUCAAAGAAAGAUUCUAACAUUCUUGGGAAACUUUUCAAGAUAGGAAAAGUAUGGGGUAUUACAGUUUUCUACUUCCUAUUUCCCCAAAUGCUAGGUGUGGGAACUAAACCUUUAUUGUAAAGAAUCAUAUAACUUUAAUGGUUUUAAAAUCCAUUUUAGAACAUUAGUGUACAUUAUGAUACGUGGAAUUCAGGAGUUCUAGGUCCAGUCACAUUGAGCGGUCUCAAUAUGGGGUCAAGAGACUUGGUAAAACAAAAAUGGUCCUACAAGGUUUGUUCAUAUAACCAUUAGAAUGAAAUGUAGAGUGUCGAUGCUUGAAUAAUCGAUGAUUUGCUUGUUCAUAGGUUGGUCUAAAAGGCAAAUCACUAAGUUUCACACCUUAAGUGGCAGUUCUUCUGUUGAAUGGGUUCAAGGUUCACUUGUGGCUCAUAAACAACCCCUGACUUGGUACAAGGUAUUUUUCAGGAUGCUUAUAAUGUCAACUACUACAUAUAGUCAUGUUUAUAUCGAUCUUAACAUAUUACAUAAUAUGUUUUAGCACGACAACGCAUAGUUAAUAGAUUAAUACCUUUUCCAGGUAAUAUUUAACUCGCCUGGAGGAUUCAACGAGAAGAAAUGUCAGACUAAUUGUGGACAACCUUCUCAAAUAUGGUAACAGAUAUCCAUAAUUUGUAUAACACUAAGUGAAGUUAUUACUAGAUCAACUUUCUGUGAGAAUUUCACACGACAACUCAAUCCGAUGUUCCAUACUCUAGAAUUUGCGAAACUGGUAAUUUCAGGUACAUGUCCCGUGAUUAUGGCUGAAACCAAGUGGAAACCUAUUGGUAGUAUUUGAAGAAUGGGGUGGUAAUUCAAUAGGAAUUUCUUUAGUAAGAAGAUCAAGAUAAAGACUUUGAAAAGGUAUGUGUUGUAAUCUAUUCAACAUUGUAGGUAUGCAAUUGUUCGGGACAUGACUGCUGCUGGUCUUUGUCUGAAUAAAUUCUGCUAUGCUGCGCUUAUAGCGGCUCAAAAGAAUAAGGAACCUUUCAGGGAUGAUAUAGCUUCUAAGGUGAGUAAUUAGUGCAUCUAUAUGUUUUUACAAAUUUUUCAUUUUUAUAAUAUCUUAACUUAUUUGAUUUUUUUAUUUCCUGGAGUAGAUUAUUGAACUAGUUGAGUAAUCCAAUGGUUGGUCAGUAGUUGAAGCACUUAGUGACGUUCCUGUAAGAUCCACGAUUGGUGUGACUGAAGAAUUUUAUAAUCUCCCAACUACUGAGUAUAUUUUUUGACUUGGUGGAUUUUUUAAAUAUGGAAUUGACAGUUUAUCAUGUUGCAUUUCAUGCAUGUGCUUCCCUAAAAAGUGUGGAGGUACCAUACUUGACAUCCACUAACAUGAUCAUUUGAUGUGGUUUAGUUUUGCUUUAUUAGAUAUGGCCUAAAUCCUUCUGUGUUUUCCAUGUAAAUUAUCCUGCCAUACACUUGGCAUUCAUAUAUUAAGACGUUCUAAUUCAACAUAUUGUAUGUAUAACACCAAAUGCAAGAUAAAAAUGUAGUGCAUGAGAUGAACCACGAGAGCAAGCUGGGAACCUGGUUAUUUUCCUAUAGUUAUAUAACACUAUAGGUUGUUUUCCCGAUUGUUGGUCAAACUGCAGCUCUUACCUGAGAAGAGUUUACUAUGACGAGAGUCAAAAUAGUUAACUGCUAAUUUUGAUGAUACAAAUUACAAUAACAUUUAUGUUGACCUUAUAGAAGUUAGAAAAUAUGAACCCUUGUGCUAUUUUGUCACUUGUGAAGCUAUGAGGUGCUUUUUUUCAUUGAUAUCCCAUAAGGGUGCUGUUAUUUGUUGAUGUUAUAUAUUAGUCUUUAUUCUCUAUUUUUUGAAGUUUCUGUGAGUGAAGAGCUUUAUUUAUUUUCUUUUUUCUUUUAUUUCCUUGCUCGUUAUGGUAUUAUACACAAUUGCCACCCUCUUUAUUUUUUUAUAGUUGUCCUUCCUAUGUUCUAAAUUGAAAUUAAACAUGUUGUCAUUUAAGUGCUAAUUAACUGAAAUUAUUUAUUUAUUUUUUAUAGGUGUCCAAAAUCAUGAAGGAAAUGAAAAAAAAAUAGUGAUGAAGAAAUUGACAAGAUUAUUGAAUUGUUAAUAAAGGCUUUAAUAUCGAUCUUUUUGAUUUUUGAUUUUUGUGAAACUUAUCACCAAUCGAAUUUCAUCCUAUGUGGGAAAACUAACGAUCAUUUGACUUUACCAUUUUUCUUUUGGGUUUAGAUUACUAGUUUGUUCUAUAUUUUAAUUUGGAUUAUUAUUAAUGUAAGAUUUUGUUGUGACGUGUGUAUAUUUAUUUCAAUUGGUAUUUGAACUGUUAAUGGUAUAUGAAGUAGUUGGAAUAGGUGGAAAAAAUUGUUGCAAUAGCUAAUUAUAAUAGUUGAAAUAGGUAGCAAAAAAAUAUUGCAAAAGACCUAAAAAACCGUUGCAAUAGGUGCCAAAAAGAGUUGCAAUAGGUAGUUAAAAACCGUUGUAAAAGAUCAAUAAGCGUUGCAGUAGAUAUCCAAAAAUUGUUGCAAUAGGGUUAUUGCAACACGUUUCCAUCGUUGCAAUAUAGUCUAUUGCAAUGGUUCUUAACCGUUGCUAUAGACGAUACAAAGCAUCGCAAUUGGAGGUUAGAAAAACCAUUGCAAUAGGUUUAUCUAUUGCAACGGUUUUCAUAACCGUCAUAAUAACCAUUGAGAUAGACCUAUCCCAACGCUCACAUACGCAACACUUGGCUAACCGUUGCGGUAGAUCUAUGAAAACAAUUUUUUUUCUAUUGCAAUGAUUUUUGAACUGUUGCCAUAGGUCUAAUUUCUUGUAGUGAUUCCUUGUCUCUUUCUUACUUUAAAGUGUCACAAUCCAACUAAUCGGAUCAUACGGGAAACCCACUGUAAUCCAACUAGAUGAGAGGACCCUUACCAUUGAAAUUAUGCAAAAAUCAUUUAAGAAAUAAAUAAUUUUUUUAUUUAUUACAACUAAUUUACAAAUCUUUAAGUACAAAAUUUAAUACUUUACCCAAAGACCUAGUCUAAAUAGGACAUAAGCUACUAAAAUAGAAUUCAGAACAAUGUACAUGAUCCGGCUUCCACCAUAAGAGGCCAUGGUAAAAGCUGUUGGAAAUCGCUACCGCAUCAAGUGUGAAACAUCUGCUGAUCCUACAAUCAAAUUAUACCCCCCAAAAAUAUAGCAAAAGUAGUAUCAUUACAAACGACACACACUGGUAAGCAUCAUCGAUCAAUUCAAAUUAAAUCACAAAACCACCAUAUAAAUAUCUGAAAGAAAAACAUGCACCUUAAGAGAUUUAUGAGUCACCCUUCUGUCCCUUAAUGUUUUACCUUCUUUAUCUUUUAUCACUCUCACUAAUUCGUAAGUCAACUUCCACACCACAUUAAACUCUAAUGCACUACCUUCCCAUAAUAUCAUCAAGCCAGGCUUUGAACACUCAUUUAAUUAUGAACUCAACUAUGCCUAACUUUAAUGAUUUCUAACCCUUAGUAACCCAUCAUUUCAGACUCUUACGUAAUACUUAGAUGUAUCCUAUUACCCUGGUUAUGCAUUAACACCUACCUAGUUAGAGAUUUUAGAUAAUGACUAGGAGCAAUUAAAUAGCAAGACAACUAUACUCUUCUUACCCAAUCUCUACAAUAUCAACUAAUAGACCAAUGACCAUAACCAUAACCAUACCAUAAACUAUGAACAUCUUUCUAGUAGCUUAUCUCAAAUAUGAACACUUAUCCUUUUCAAAAAUACCACAAAAUCCAGUCAAUACAAGUCUACAUAGAUAACAACUUAAGUCAACACUCUGGCUACCAGCAUCAACUAAGUCAACAAACCAUGGCUCAACAAUAAUAUGCUAACUAUGUCUCAAAUACAUAAGUGAGUGAAAAAUUAAGAUAUGCACAGAUUAUUUGCAAUUUAGCAUAGACCAUUCAAGGAUCUAAUCCAACCACAAUGAAAUCAAUAAUGAUAAAUCUUGGUUCAUAAAGGAACUAAAUAUAUUAAGUCAAAAAAUUAUUAUUGAUAUCUGUUGAGGGAUAAAUUAUUGAAAAUGAUCUCUUUUAAAAAAAUCUAAUGAUGUCAUUAUGUUCAAAACAUUAAAAAUAUUCUAGUAGCAUGUAUAAUUUAGUUCUUUGAGUGCCCAAGUAAAACCCGAGGGUUUGUUCAGAGGUUUUAAGGACAUGCAACUUUAGCUGAAUUAUAGAUGUCUGGUGCAUGUAGAGUCCUUCAUCGUGUUAGUAGAGGAGUCAUUUCAUUCAUGGCGAAGAAAUAUUUUUCUAUUAUAAUGACAUAGUGGUGGUCAUGAUUGCAAAAGGUAAUUAAAUAUUAAGUCGGGGUUUGACUUCAAUGUGUUCAUGAUAGGGCUACCACAUUUUUGGCGGGUUCGGGUUAGACUUCAUAUUUGCAAGGAUGGGUUUGCAAUCAUGAAGGGAUCUUAAAUGCCUAGUCAAUGUUGAUUCUCAUUAUUGAAAUAUGGGUACUGUGAACAUGAGAAUAUUGUUCACCUGAAAAUAUAUAACUCAUUUUCAUCAUUUUUGGACUUGGGAGUUUCAAGAAAGACAAUGUCAAAGGGGUUUAUUCAUCAUUCAUGUUUGGGUAGUCUCUAAACUCCUAUUUCCAUUGAUUCUAUUUUCUAAAUAGCUUUAAAAACAUAAUUUCAAAUUGAAAUUUUGGAAUUUUACUCGGUUUGUUUAAAAUUGAUUUUUCUUCAAAUCGAUGGUCGAUUUUACCUUAUUUUAACUUGGGCUUUUAGAUUUAAAUGACUCUUGGUAUGAGGAACAAGUUUCUAAAAUAAAAUUCCAGAUUUACCAUUUUUGAUUUUGAACUAAUUUUUCAAAAGAUUUUAGAUCCGAUUUAAAUAUAGUUGAUAUAGGUAUCAACAGUUUUUUUUGAUGCAUAAAUUAAAUAAUUGGUAGAUUUAGUUCAUUUUGAGACUAAUUAUGAAGUAAAAUCUCCUGUUUAAGGGUCUAGACUUGGAUUUUGACUCUUUGAGGUAAGUUAUGAUUUAACUUUCUUUAAACUACUAUUUUGAUAAAGUAUGCUAUGGGUUAGGAAACUAGAAGUGGAAAAUGUAUUUCAAAGUUAUUUAUUUUAUCAUUUUCCCAUUUGGGGGUUUAUAUUUAUAUUGUUGUUGACUUAAGAGAUUAUAUUUUGUGUGAUAUCCAUGUAGGGGCUUAAUUUGAUAUUUGUAAGCCUUAUUUAUACAUAAAAUGUCAUUAUUGUUGUUGUGAUGCCUGUGUGGGAGAGGGGAUUGGAUCGAUAUUAUAAGCUUAUUUGAGCAUUAUUUGCCUUUAUCAGGAAAGUAAUACCCGAGUAAGGGGUUUUGAAAUAAGGCUUAAAAUAUUGCGACUUAGAAAGUGUAUACAAAAAGUCAUGCGAUGGCUUACAUAAUCAUGAUUCCACCAUCAUUGCAUUGCAUCAUUUGUAUUUUCUCAAUGUGUUUGUUGUCGUGUAUUUAGUUUCCUUAUAUAUCUCGUGUGCAGCUUUCCCUUUUUACUUUAUACUUUAAAAUUGUUAAUGGAGAUGGUGUGAUCUACCAGUUGAAAAUUUUUCUGUUUGCAGGUGGAACAUUCUCAUAGUAUCUCUUGUCUAGUUUUCUACUUUGCUCAGCCGACCUAUGAUACCUACUGAGUAUAAGUAGAUCGUACACACUUUUACAUCUAUUCUCUUUCAAUGAAGAUCCUAUUAUGAGUGCGACUCAUGCUGACUGAUCUCAUGGUAUGAGAUAUUGGAGGUACUCUGCUGACUAAUCCCAUGGUAUGAGAUAUUGGAGGUAUUGUGAGCUCCAGAGUUUGAAGUAGAUUCUGAACCUCCACCUAUCUUAUCUUGUCAUUAUUUAUUUUCAAAGACAGAUUCAUGUAUUUUUGAUUUUGGAUUUAUAUAAGAUGCUUUUACACUUAUGACACCAGGCCUUGGGGAUUUAUGUAUUUCAUUCGAAUAUUUAUGUUAUUUACAUAUCAUGCCUUGACUUUAUUCUAUAAGCCUCAUAUUUUCUUGGUUUUUUCAUAUAUAAAUUUCUCAUGUUUUGGUUUACCUAUCAAGGCUGGGUCGAGGUAGGUGUCAUUAUGACAUCAGAUUUUGGGUCAUGAUAAAUUGGUAUUAGAGUGCAAGGUUCAUCUGUCUCAUAAGUGUAGGUGCAGGAUAUCUAAUAGAGUCUCGUGGAUCGACACAUUAUUGUUCAUAUCUAUCUUUGAAAGUUUAUAAGACAUAGUUAGUAAAGACUUCUCUAAAUUUAUUCCUUAUCAUGCAAGUUGUUCAUGUUCAAUUUUCAAAAGUUGUAUUCCAUUCUUUUCUAUAUAGAUGGAGAGGACUAGAACUAGAGAUGUUGAGGAUGCUGAGACAACACUCGCUAUCGGGGCCUUAGUUAGGAGAUGGGGUGUGGGUCAUGGCUAAGUGAGAGCUAUAGGUUGGGCAUGAAGAUAUAACAACCCAAACCAUUGUUACGUGUGAAAAUGCAUGAAAAAUAAUUUAUGAUUAAUAAUAUGCUCAAAUUAGGCUAGAAAAAAAUUAAAAUAAAAAGGUAUAAUGAGGUCCCAAAGAGGUUAGACUGGUCCACAACCUACUGCUACAAUAAUAGGAUAACCAAUAUAGCCUAAAGGUUUCAUUACAAUGAUAUUUGACAAUAGCCAACCCAAGGAAAUUUUAAAAACCCUCUCUUUUAUUAUCUUCCUAAGUUUCCCCCUUCCCCCCAAAACACUCUGAACAACACCAGUUUUUUAAUUAUGAGAUGUCAGAUAUCAGGGUUUAUGAGAGUGGUUUUAAGGCACACUCGAUGAAAAUCCAACAUGGAGGUGCUAAGCACUAGCUGGAAACAGUCUUCUAUCAAUAACAUUUGAAUUCAAUUAUGAGGUAGGUUAAGAUUUUUAUUCAUUAAAUCAAAUAGACUUGGGUUUGAUUUAUUAAUAUUGCUAGUAAUGUAGGGAGUUAUCAUGCAUUAGGCCUUCAAGCAUGGUGAUUAGAAAGACAAAAAUAAUGAAAAACCUAGUUAGGCUUUAGUGUUUUGAUUAACCUUUAUAACACCUUAGUUAUAUACUAUUCAUAGUAUUAAAAUGGGCUGAACCUUGUGAGAAUUAUGAAUAGUAAAGUAAACACUAUAACUCUUAAGCAUGGUGUAAGUUAAGUAUGGUAAAAAUGGGGGAGUAGUAUAAAUCUAGUGAUAAUAAAGGCUGAUGUUCUUAAAAUUAAUGCUUAUGUCUUGUACUAAAUAAGGUUAACUAGGCAUAAUUAAGGAGUAGGGGUGGAAAGUAAAUUAAUAAAAAUUAUAGGUGACCUAUGAGCAUAUUUGAGUGGGUCAGAGCUAUUGAAUCAAUUGGCAGGGAUAUAAGGUCAAGUGUGAGAUUUCCAAAACAAGUGUUAAGAAGGAGUUGGGUAUUAGGUCAGGAACAUAAAUGAGAGUCAUGAAUGAAUGGGACAAUUUAUUAUGUCUAGAUUUACACCCCUAGUUGGGUAGGGGUGUAGGGUGAAAGAGUUAACAACGUAUGAACCUAUGUAGGCGUAUAAUACUAGAAUGGAUAUCAUAUGAUUAUACAUGAAAUGAUAAUGUGAUUUCGUUUGAGCAUUGCUAUGAUAAUUGACUAAAUUUGUGAUGUUCAUGAUGUUAUUGAUGUUGAUGUGAAGGCUAUGAUGAUGAGAAUGAUAUGUAACCCAUGAUUUUCAUGAUGUUUUAAUGUUUUUAAUGUUAAUGAGGUGGAGAAGAGGAGAGAUGAUGUGCACAUAUUACAUGCAUGCACUUAUUUAUAUGCAUUGGUUGACAUUCUAUUAUGUUUAUGUAUUUUUAAUGAAUUCUUUAGUGUAUUGAUCUAUUGGAGGAACUGAUGAAAUAUAGUGGCACUUUAUGGAUCCAAGUUUUGUCCUAAUUCAAGUUAAUGUUAACAAUCUAAUGUGUGUAAUUAUAGGAGUCUAUUGUACGAUAUUGUCCCUCCUUAUAGGGAUUUGUCAAGUCAUAAAUGCCGUAGUGGUUAUGAACCUAGUAGUGUGUUGUGUUAGUACAGUAAUGAGGAGUAUUUGGUCUAUUCGUGGUUAUCUUAAGUUGCAAUUUAGUGAGGUCAGUAAAUCUGACUCAGAGUGGACUACAAGUAAAGAAAAUUAGGGUAAUAGCUUACUUAAGUGACAAGAGGGAGUGAGUUAGAAUUGGUGGUUAAAGGACAAAGAUAUAAGAAAAUGUUAAUGAUAGGUAGGUCACAAAUAUGCUAAAUAUACGGAACUAAUGAAUACAUAAAUUGGGAU